GGGAGGCAGCAGUGGGGAAUAUUGCACAAUGGGGGAAACCCUGAUGCAGCGACGCCGCGUGAGCGAAGAAGUAUUUCGGUAUGUAAAGCUCUAUCAGCAGGGAAGAAAUGACGGUACCUGACUAAGAAGCACCGGCAAAUACGUGCCAGCAGCCGCGGUAAUACGUAUGGUGCAAGCGUUAUCCGGAUUUACUGGGUGUAAAGGGAGCGCAGGCGGUACGGCAAGUCUGAUGUGAAAUCCCGGGGCUCAACCCCGGUACUGCAUUGGAAACUGUCGGACUAGAGUGUCGGAGGGGUAAGUGGAAUUCCUAGUGUAGCGGUGAAAUGCGUAGAUAUUAGGAGGAACACCAGUGGCGAAGGCG
rnacentral:rRNA from 1 species